rnacentral:rRNA from 1 species
CCUACGGGAGGCAGCAGUGAGGAAUAUUGGUCAAUGGGCGCGAGCCUGAACCAGCCAAGUCGCGUGAGGGAGGACGGCCCUACGGGUUGUAAACCUCUUUUGCCGGGGAGCAACGGGCGUCACGUGUGGCGCCACUGAGAGUACCCGGAGAAAAAGCAUCUGCUAACUACGUGCCAGCAGCCGCGGUAAUACGGAGGAUGCGAGCGUUAUCCGGAUUUAUUGGGUUUACAGGGUGCGUAGGCGGAUCGUUAAGUCAGUGGGCAAAUUUAGGGGCUCAACCCCUUCCCGCCAUUGAAACUGGCGCUCUUGAGUGGAAGAGAAGUAUGCGGAAUGCGUGGUAUAGCGGUGAAAUGCAUAGAUAUCACGCAGAACCCCGAUUGCGAAGGCAGCAUGCCGGCUUCCGACUGACGCUGAAGCACGAAAGCGUGGGGAUCGAACAGGAUUAGAUACCCCUGUAGUC